GUAAAUAUAGUUUAAACAAAACCCUAGAUUGUGAAUCUAAUGAUGAAGAUUUAAAUCCUUCUAUUUACC
rnacentral:tRNA from 1 species